CCCCUUAUAGCUCAAUGAUAGAGCUCCGGCUUGGAAAGCCAAAGACCAGUGGUUCGAUCCCCGUCAGGGACA
rnacentral:tRNA from 1 species